UUCCAGACUCCUACGGGAGGCAGCAGUGGGGAAUAUUGCACAAUGGGGGAAACCCUGAUGCAGCGACGCCGCGUGAGUGAAGAAGUAUUUCGGUAUGUAAAGCUCUAUCAGCAGGGAAGAAAAUGACGGUACCUGACUAAGAAGCCCCGGCUAACUACGUGCCAGCAGCCGCGGUAAUACGUAGGGGGCAAGCGUUAUCCGGAUUUACUGGGUGUAAAGGGGGCGCAGACGGCGAUGCAAGCCAGGAGUGAAAGCCCGGGGCCCAACCCCGGGACUGCUCUUGGAACUGCGCGGCUGGAGUGCAGGAGGGGCAGGCGGAAUUCCUGGUGUAGCGGUGAAAUGCGUAGAUAUCAGGAGGAACACCGGUGGCGAAGGCGGCCUGCUGGACUGCGACUGACGUUGAGGCCCGAAAGCGUGGGGAGCAAACAGGAUUAGAUACCCGAGUACU
rnacentral:rRNA from 1 species